UCGUAACAAGGUUUCCGUAGGUGAACCUGCGGAAGGAUCAUUACCGAGUGAGGACCUAACCGGUCCAACCUCCCACCCGUGUCUAUCGUACCUUGUUGCUUCGGCGGGCCCGCCAUUCGUGGCCGCCGGGGGGCAUUUCGCCCCCGGGCCCGCGCCCGCCGGAGACACCAACACGAACACUGUCUGAAGGUUGCAGUCUGAGUCGAUUUAUUUAAUCGUUAAAACUUUCAACAACGGAUCUCUUGGUUCCGGCAUCGAUGAAGAACGCAGCGAAAUGCGAUAAUUAAUGUGAAUUGCAGAAUUCAGUGAAUCAUCGAGUCUUUGAACGCACAUUGCGCCCCCUGGUAUUCCGGGGGGCAUGCCUGUCCGAGCGUCAUUGCUGCCCUCAAGCACGGCUUGUGUGUUGGGUCGCCGUCCCCUUCCCGGGGGACGGGCCCGAAAGGCAGCGGCGGCACCGCGUCCGGUCCUCGAGCGUAUGGGGCUUUGUCACCCGCUCUGUAGGCCCGGCCGGCGCCUGCCGACCACCAACCUUUUUUUAACCAGGUUGACCUCGGAUCAGGUAGGGAUACCCGCUGAACUUAAGCAUAUCAAUAA
rnacentral:misc_RNA from 1 species